UGGGGAAUAUUGCACAAUGGGCGCAAGCCUGAUGCAGCCAUGCCGCGUGUGUGAAGAAGGCCUUCGGGUUGUAAAGCACUUUCAGCGGGGAGGAAGGCGAUAAGGUUAAUAACCUUGUCGAUUGACGUUACCCGCAGAAGAAGCACCGGCUAACUCCGUGCCAGCAGCCGCGGUAAUACGGAGGGUGCAAGCGUUAAUCGGAAUUACUGGGCGUAAAGCGCACGCAGGCGGUCUGUCAAGUCGGAUGUGAAAUCCCCGGGCUCAACCUGGGAACUGCAGUCGAUACUGGCAAGCUAGAGUUGUGUAGAGGGGGGUGGAAUUUCAGGUGUAGCGGUGAAAUGCGUAGAGAUCCGGAGGAAUUCCGGUGGCGAAGGCGGCCCCCUGGACCAAGACUGACGCUUAGGUGCGAAAGCGUGGGGAGCAAACAGG
rnacentral:rRNA from 1 species